UACGAAGGGUGCAAGCGUUAUUCGGAAUCAUUGGGCGUAAAGCGCGCGCAGGCGGAUUAAUAAGUCAGGUGUGAAAUCUCGAGGCUCAACCUCGAAACUGCGCCCGAAACUAUUAGUCUAGAAUGUCGGAGGGGGCGGGGGAAUUUCACGUGUAGGGGUAGAAUCCGUAGAGAUGAGAAGGAACACCGGAGGCGAAGGCGCCUGCCUGGACGACUAUUGACGCUGAGGCGCGAAAGCGUGGGGAGCAAACAGG
rnacentral:rRNA from 1 species